ensembl:misc_RNA Metazoa_SRP Metazoan signal recognition particle RNA
GCCAGGUGUGGUCGCGCACACCUGUAAUCCCAGCUACUCAGGAGGCUGAGGCAGGAGAAUCACUCGAACCCAGGAGAAGAUUGCAGUGAGCCGAGAUCAUGCCACUGCACUCCAGCCUGGGUGACAGAGUGAGACUCUGUCUCAA